rnacentral:rRNA from 1 species
GACGAACGCUGGCGGCGUGCCUAAUACAUGCAAGUUGAGCGCUGAAGGUUGGUACUUGUACCAACUGGAUGAGCAGCAAACGGGUGAGUAACGCGUGGGGAAUCUGCCUUUGAGCGGGGGACAACAUUUGGAAACGAAUGCUAAUACCGCAUAAAAACUUUAAACACAAGUUUUAAGUUUGAAAGAUGCAAUUGCAUCACUCAAAGAUGAUCCCGCGUUGUAUUAGCUAGUUGGUGAGGUAAAGGCUCACCAAGGCGAUGAUACAUAGCCGACCUGAGAGGGUGAUCGGCCACAUUGGGACUGAGACACGGCCCAAACUCCUACGGGAGGCAGCAGUAGGGAAUCUUCGGCAAUGGACGAAAGUCUGACCGAGCAACGCCGCGUGAGUGAAGAAGGUUUUCGGAUCGUAAAACUCUGUUGGUAGAGAAGAACGUUGGUGAGAGUGGAAAGCUCAUCAAGUGACGGUAACUACCCAGAAAGGGACGGCUAACUACGUG